rnacentral:misc_RNA from 1 species
AAGGAUCAUUCGUAAUAAGUGUUUUAUGGCACUUUAAAAUCCAUAUCCACCUUGUGUGCAAUGUCAGCCUGACCCCACAUCCCAGCAAUGGGUGUGUGUGAAGGGUUUCAUUAUCCACGUCCAUAGUUUUUCUUUUUCCAGUCUACAUACUUAGAGUAGUAGAGUAGUAAACGAACUCAAAUACAACUUUCAACAACGGAUCUCUAGGCUCUC